UAAAGUGGCGACCGGGUGAGUAACACGUGACUAACCUACCCUAGAGUGGGGAAUAAACCUCGGGAAACCGGGGCUAAUACCGCAUAACAUCACGAGACGUAAACGCUUGUGAUCAAAGGAGUAAUUUGCUCAAGGAGGGGGUCGCGGCUGAUUAGUUAGUUGGUGAGGUAACGGCUCACCAAGACUUAGAUCAGUAGCCGGCCUGAGAGGGCGCACGGCCACACUGGAACUGAAACACGGUCCAG
rnacentral:rRNA from 1 species